rnacentral:rRNA from 1 species
CAGCCGCCGCGGUAAUACGGAGGGUGCAAGCGUUGACCGGAUUUAUUGGGUUUAAAGGGUGCGCAGGCGGGGGGGUCAGUCCGCGGUGAAAGACGAUCGCUCAACGAUUGCAGUGCCGUGGAUACUGCCCUUCUUGAAUCUGGUUGAGGCCGGUGGAAUUGACCGUGUAGCGGUGAAAUGCAUAGAUAUGGUCAAGAACUCCAAUUGCGAAGGCAGCCGGCUGGGCCAGCAUUGACGCUCAGGCACGAGAGUGCGGGGAUCAAACAGGAUUAGAUACCCCCGUAGCCCUGUCUCUUAUACA